rnacentral:rRNA from 1 species
CAACUCGCCUACACGAAGCUGGAAUCGCUAGUAAUCGCGGAUCAGCACGCCGCGGUGAAUACGUUCCCGGGCCUUGUACACACCGCCCGUCACACCAUGAGAGUCUGUAACACCCAAAGCCGGUGGGAUAACCUUUAUAGGAGUCAGCCGUCUAAGGUAGGACAGAUGAUUAGGGUGAAGUCGUAACAAGGUACC